ensembl:lncRNA
CAUGGUAGUUUGUUCUCUGUAGGUAGAGACUGGGGUGUGAUUCCCCUGGUCCAUGGUAGUUUGAGUCAUUCAGACUGUUCUCUGUAGGUAGAGACUGGUGUGUGAUUCCCCUGGUCAUGGUAGUUUGUUCUCUGUAGGUAGAGACUGGUGUGUGAUUCCCCUGGUCAUGGUAGUUUGUUCUCUGUAGGUAGAGACUGGUGUGUGAUUCCCCUGGUCAUGGUAGUUUGUUCUCUGUAGGUGGAGACUGGGGUGUGAUUCCCCUGGUCCAUGGUAGUUUGUUCUCUGUAGGUGGAGACUGGGGUGUGAUUCCCCUGGUCCAUGGUAGUUUGUACUCUGUAAGGUAGAGACUGGGGUGUGAUUCCCCUGGUCAUGGUAGUUUGUUCUCUGUAAGGUAGAGAGUGCUGUGUGUUUACGUUUGAAAACCUGUUGAUGAUGUCAGACUGACCCAACAGGUCCUACUGGUUUUGAGUUUCUC